rnacentral:lncRNA from 1 species
CUGUGAGCUGCCAGCUGGACUUUGUGUUCCUCCGUGAAGCGACACGAAGGUCCGUGUGUGUGUGUGUGUGUGUGUGUGUGUGUGUGUGUGUGUGUGUGUGUGUGUGAGAGAGAGAGAGAGAGAGAGAGAGAGAGAGAGGAGGAGGAGCACCGCUGAUGAAGAUCCGGAGCGUUUUAACCGGAAACGACGACAGCAGAGCUCCGUGUGUCAGCUGUGUGACCUGUGGGAGUCUGCACAUGCUCAGUUCGACUCUCUUCUGGGUAGACAGUAGGAGCUUGGACCAUCUGUUUUGGAGUGUCCGCCUCUUGCUCCUCCUCCUCCCCACACUCUGUCUGGUACUGAUCCAG